GUGAGUAACACGUGGAUAACCUACCUAUAAGACUGGGAUAACUUCGGGAGACCGGAGCUAAUACCGGAUAAUAUAUUGAACCGCAUGGUUCAAUAGUGAAAGACGGUUUUGCUGUCACUUACAGAUGGAUCCGCGCCGCAUUAGCUAGUUGGUAAGGUAACGGCUUACCAAGGCAACGAUGCGUAGCCGACCUGAGAGGGUGAUCGGCCACACUGGAACUGAGACACGGUCCAG
rnacentral:rRNA from 1 species